AUUGAACGCUGGCGGCAGGCCUAACACAUGCAAGUCGAACGAGUGGCGGACGGGUGAGUAAUGUGUGGGAAACUGCCUGAUGGAGGGGGAUAACUACUGGAAACGGUCGCUAAUACCGCAAUCUAUCGGAUGUGCCCAGAUGGGAUUGGCUAGGGGGUGGGGUAACGGGUCACCAAGGCGACGAUCCUUAGCUGGUCUGAGAGGAUGACCAGCCACACUGGGACUGAGACACGGUCCAGACUCCUACGGGAGGCAGCAGUGGGGAAUAUUGCACAAUGGGCGCAAGCCUGAAGCAGCCAUGCCGCGUGUAUGAAGAAGGCCUUCGGGUUGUAAAGUACUUUCAGCAGAGAAGCGUUAACUACAGAAGAAGCACCGGCUAACUCCGUGCCAGCAGCCGCGGUAAUUC
rnacentral:rRNA from 1 species